ensembl:lncRNA
GGAACCUUUUCCUGCCUCGACACUUGUCCAGAAACUGGCAAAAGGGCAGAAGACUUUCAUCAGCACCCUCACCGCAGAGAUAAGAAUGAGGAAGAAUAUUCUUUUCCACACAGGAAUGAAAAGAUGAAUAUUAACUUUUCUCUCCCCAGCGGUGUUCCUGCAGUCUGGCAGACAAAUUAAGUGUGACCUCCUGGCCUGUUAUCUAUGGAGCCUGGAAGCCAAUGGGACUGCGCGGCUCUCCUCAGUUCAUAGGUGCAGCAACCUUCUGAGUGGGCUCUACCUGCUUCCAGCUGAUGGCUGAAUGAUGCAGCAGUCCUCCACCCAGCCUGCAGACAGACAUUAUUGCCUACAUGCUGUAGUUGUUUACUGUCACCAAGAGAAACGUGCCCCCUGCAGUCUCCCGUGUGAGCUUCUCCUGCUGUUUGAAGCCAUCUGCCCGUCUCUCCGCUGUUUCACAGAAGGCUCAUCUAACCUGUAGAGACGUCCGUCAGGUUCAUGCUGCCCCAGUGGAGCCAACGUGCUUGCUGCAAGAAGCAUGCGAUGUCACAGGAGGCACACCUUCACUCCGCAUUAUGUUUUUGUUUGACAAAAACCCACCGGUGUUGGAUUCGAUCAUUAUCCAGUCAGACAUCCCUGCCGUGGAUUAGCUCAGACAUAAACAAAGCAAAUAAACUUUCAUGGCCUGAUGUUGUGACAUCACUCACAAGGAGACACUUAAAGGUCUUAAUUUCUAAUCUAAAAGCAAAGUUUUGUUUUAGCAUCUCUGUAAAUCUGCAGACAUGGAGGGGGGCGACGAGUCAAUAAAUAUGCAAACGAGUCCAAAGCUCUGUGUUGGACAGCAUCACGGCACAGAUUUGAAACUCCUGACUGAUGCAGUGAGUGAAGGUCAGGUUGAUCUUUGUGUGGCUGCAAAGCCAACAAACCAUGCAUGUAACUUUCUAACUGCAGCACGUAAAAGGUCCAGUGCAUAAGAGCAAUUCAGACCUCAGCUUUGUAAAUAAGAGACAG